rnacentral:rRNA from 1 species
GCAGCCGCGGUAAUACGUAGGUGGCGAGCGUUAUCCGGAAUUACUGGGUGUAAAGGGUGUGUAGGCGGGGGAGCAAGUCAGGCGUGAAAUUCAUGGGCUCAACCCAUGGGCUGCGCUUGAAACUGUUCUUCUUGAGAGUGGGAGAGGUAAACGGAAUUCCUGGUGUAGUAGUGAAAUGCGUAGAUAUCAGGAGGAACACCGGUGGCGAAGGCGGUUUACUGGACCAUUACUGACGCUGAGACACGAAAGCGUGGGGAGCAAACAGGAUUAGAUACCCC